GACGAACGCUGGCGGCGUGCCUAAUACAUGCAAGUAGAACGCUGACGGAGGAGCUUGCUUCUCUGGAUGAGUUGCGAACGGGUGAGUAACGCGUAGGUAACCUGCCUGGUAGCGGGGGAUAACUAUUGGAAACGAUAGCUAAUACCGCAUAAGAGUAGAUGUUGCAUGACAUUUGCUUCAAAGGUGCAAUUGCAUCACUACCAGAUGGACCUGCGUUGUAUUAGCUAGUUGGUGAGGUAACGGCUCACCCAGGCAACGAUACAUAGCCGACCUGAGAGGGGGAGCGGCCACACUGGGACUGGGACACGGCCCAGACCCCUACGGGAGGCAGCAGUAGGGAAGCGUCGGAAAUGUACGGAAGUCUGACCGUGCAACGCCGCGGGAGUGAAGAAGGUUUUCGGAUCGUAAAGCUCAGUUGUAAGAGAAGAACGAGUGUGAUAGUGGAAAGGUCACACUGUGACGGUAUCUUACCAGAAAGGGACGGCUAACUACGUG
rnacentral:rRNA from 1 species